UGGAAGUGCCUUUUAGACCACAUAUAAGAUUCCUGUUUUUCCCCCACUGCCCUCUGCUUCUCUACAUGCUAAUGUUACAAGAACAUUCAUAAGGAAAUGCUUCAAAAAGCUGUUGCCUAAAUAUUAUGCAAGAGAUAAUCCAGUCCAGAAGCAGGUGUUAAUAGAAAGAGCUCAGAGAAACUGUUGGUGCUAUCCAACAAGCAAACACGCAUCAAGACAAGCAAAGAAAUACAGACAGAACUUUAAAAUGAAGACAUUCUAAGAUCUCACUUUUAACUGAUAACCUGGAGGCAACGUUUACCAAGAUGGAUGGGCACAUAUCUAGGAACUGUCAAAAUCCAGGAAUGCUGGAAGAAGUAUGCAUUUGAGGACACUUAAGAAAUCAACUAUGAGUUUGAAACCAAGUUACAAAAGGAGAGAGCAACCACAUUUUUCAAAGAGAUUUUCUUUUGUCAUGGCCCAAUUCGAUCUUCACAGCGGACAACAUACAGCCGGAUAUCGUGCUUUGUACAAAUUGAAGUUUUGCAUCAACCCUGCUUCAAGCAAGUCUAUUGGCACCAUUUUCCCAACAGCGUGUGUUCAUUUUGUGUCACUGUGUCAUAUUUUGGUAAUUCUCAUAACAUU